rnacentral:lncRNA from 1 species
CCACAGGCUAGGGUUGGGGGUUAUAAAUUAUAUCCUGUCCCUUUGGGGAAAAACUCAUCAACUGUGUGUUGAUCCAGGGGAAAGAGAGGGCUGAGCGCAACCCACCACGGGAGUCAACUAUUAAUCUCCUGAUUGAUGGCAUAUCUUAUUCCUGGGAACAUCAGCACAGGUGGCGGAAUUGGUGGCUUUGACAGAAGCAUGCAAACAGGAUGAAGGGAAAACGGCUAAUAUCUACACAGACUCAAGUUGCUGCUCCCGAAGCUGCUCCUGAAGAAGUCACAGAUACAGACAGUGACACAGAAGAUGUGAGAACUAAGCCAGACC